UGGAAGUAAAAGUGGUAAUAAAAUUUCUGUAGAGGAUCCUGCGGAAGAAGCAUUG
rnacentral:rRNA from 1 species